AGUGAACGCUGGCGGUAGGCCUAACACAUGCAAGUCGAACGGCAGCACAGUAAGAGCUUGCUCUUACGGGUGGCGAGUGGCGGACGGGUGAGGAAUACAUCGGAAUCUACUUUUUCGUGGGGGAUAACGUAGGGAAACUUACGCUAAUACCUCAUACGACCUACGGGUGAAAGCAGCAGAGCUUCGGACCUUUCGCGAUUGAAUGAGCCGAUGUCGGAUUAGCUAGUUGGCGGGGUAAAGGCCCACCAAGGCGACGAUCCGUAGCUGGUCUGAGAGGAUGAUCAGCCACACUGGAACUGAGACACGGUCCAGACUCCUACGGGAGGCAGCAGUGGGGAAUAUUGGACAAUGGGCGCAAGCCUGACCCAGCCAUACCGCGUGGGUGAAGAAGGCCUUCGGGUUGUAAAGCCCUUUUGUUGGGAAAGAAAAGCAGCAGGUUAAUACCCCGCUGUUCUGACGGUACCCAAAGAAUAAGCACCGGCUAACUUCGUG
rnacentral:rRNA from 1 species